UACGUAGGGUGCGAGCGUUGUCCGGAAUUAUUGGGCGUAAAGAGCUCGUAGGCGGUCUGUCGCGUCGAUCGUGAAAACCUGGGGCUCAACCCCGGGCCUGCAGCCGAUACGGGCAAGCUAGAAUUCGGUAGGGGAGACUGGAAUUCCUGGUGUAGCGGUGAAAUGCGUUGAUAUCGAUAGGAACUCCGGUGGCGAAGGCGGCAUACUGGGCCACUUCUGACGCUGAUGCGCGAAAGCCAGGGGAGCAAACGGG
rnacentral:rRNA from 1 species